GACGAACCGUCCAAACGUUAUUCGGAAUUACUGGGCUUAAAGGGUGCGUAGGCGGCCUGACAAGUUGGGUGUGAAAUACCUCGGCUCAACCGAGGAACAGCGCUCAAAACUGUCAGGCUUGAGGGAGAUAGAGGUGAGCGGAACUUAAGGUGGAGCGGUGAAAUGCGUUGAUAUCUUAAGGAACACCCGUGGCGAAAGCGGCUCACUGGAUCUCUUCUGACGCUGAUGCACGAAAGCUAGGGGAGCAAACGGG
rnacentral:rRNA from 1 species